AGGAUGAACGCUGGCGGCGUGCUUAACACAUGCAAGUCGAACGAUGAAGGCUGGAGCUUGCUCUGGCUGGAUUAGUGGCGAACGGGUGAGUAACACGUGAGUAACCUGCCCCUGACUCUGGGAUAAGCGCUGGAAACGGCGUCUAAUACCGGAUACGAGCUUCCACCGCAUGGUGAGGAGCUGGAAAGAAUUUCGGUCUGGGAUGGACUCGCGGCCUAUCAGCUUGUUGGUGAGGUAAUGGCUCACCGAAGGCGACGACGGGUAGCCGGCCUGGAGAGGGU
rnacentral:rRNA from 1 species